AUUGAACGCUGGCGGCAUGCUUUACACAUGCAAGUCGAACGGUAACAGGUUAAGCUGACGAGUGGCGAACGGGUGAGUAAUGCAUCGGAACGUGCCCGAUCGUGGGGGAUAACGCAGCGAAAGCUGCGCUAAUACCGCAUACGAUCUGAGGAUGAAAGCGGGGGAACGUAAGGGCUCGCGCGAUCGGAGCGGCCGAUGUCGGAUUAGGUAGUGGGUGGGGUAAAGGGGCACCAAGCAACGGAUCUGGAGCUGGUCUGAGAGGACGACCAGCCACACUGGGACUGAGACACGGCCCAGACUCCUACGGGAGGCAGCAGUGGGGAAUUUUGGACAAUGGGCGAAAGCCUGAUCCAGCAAUGCCGCGUGCAGGAAGAAGGCCUUCGGGUUGUAAACUGCUUUUGUACGGAGCGAAAAGGCUCUCUCUAAUACAGGGGGCUCAUGACGGUACCGUAAGAAUAAGCACCGGCUAACUACGUGCCAGCCGCCGCCGUAA
rnacentral:rRNA from 1 species